rnacentral:rRNA from 1 species
AACGAACGCUGGCGGCAUGCCUAACACAUGCAAGUCGAACGAUGCUUUCGGGCAUAGUGGCGCACGGGUGCGUAACGCGUGGGAAUCUGCCCUUGGGUUCGGAAUAACAGUGAGAAAUUGCUGCUAAUACCGGAUGAUGUCUUCGGACCAAAGAUUUAUCGCCCAGGGAUGAGCCCGCGUAGGAUUAGCUAGUUGGUGGGGUAAUGGCCUACCAAGGCGACGAUCCUUAGCUGGUCUGAGAGGAUGAUCAGCCACACUGGGACUGAGACACGGCCCAGACUCCUACGGGAGGCAGCAGUGGGGAAUAUUGGACAAUGGGCGCAAGCCUGAUCCAGCAAUGCCGCGUGAGUGAUGAAGGCCUUAGGGUUGUAAAGCUCUUUUACCCGGGAUGAUAAUGACAGUACCGGGAGAAGAAGCCCCGGCUAACUCCGUG